UACGGAGGGUGCGAGCGUUGUCCGGAAUCACUGGGCGUAAAGGGCGCGUAGGCGGCAUGCCAAGCGUGUGGUGAAAGCCCGGGGCUCAACCCCGGGUCGGCCGUGCGGACUGGCGUGCUUGAGCACUGUAGGGGCGGGUGGAAUUCCGGGUGUAGCGGUGGAAUGCGUAGAGAUCCGGAAGAACACCAGUGGCGAAGGCGGCUCACUGGCCCGGUACUGACGCUGAGGUGCGAAAGCGUGGGGAGCAAACAGGG
rnacentral:rRNA from 1 species